CUACGGGAUGCUCCAGUGGGGAAUAUUGCACAAUGGAGGAAACUCUGAUGCAGCAACGCCGCGUGGAGGAUGACACUUUUCGGAGCGUAAACUCCUUUUAUAUAGGAAGAAGAUGACGGUACUAUAUGAAUAAGCGCCGGCUAACUCCGUGCCAGCAGCCGCGGUAAUACGGAGGGCGCAAGCGUUACUCGGAAUCACUGGGCGUAAAGAGCGUGUAGGCGGAUUAAAAAGUCAGAAGUGAAAUCCUAUAGCUUAACUAUAGAACUGCUUCUGAAACCCUUAAUCUAGAAUAUGGGAGAGGUAGAUGGAAUUUCUGGUGUAGGGGUAAAAUCCGUAGAGAUCAGAAGGAAUACCGAUUGCGAAGGCGAUCUACUAGAACAUUAUUGACGCUGAGACGCGAAAGCGUGGGGAGCAAACAGGAUUAGAUACCCGCGUAGUC
rnacentral:rRNA from 1 species